UUUCUGUUUGAUAUUUUUUUUUUUCUUAUUUCAUAACUUCUUUUUCUUAUAUAUUUAUAUAUAUAGCAGUUGUUUUAACAGGUCAAUGGUUGAGAUCUAACAG